AAAAUCCAUUACACAUUUUGGCAGUCCUUGAAAAAUAAGCCUAUUUACAGAGGAGACACCAGUUUUCUACUUUUGAUCAUCAACGAGAUUGAACUGGAAGAAACUAAACUUGAACAGGAUUUUCCAUAAUUUCCAGUAGUUGAUUGUAGGAGACGUUGACAGCACUUUGAAGAUAAAAAUGGCCGCCUUUGUAGCGAAACAGAUGAUGGGCAAUAAGCUCAAUGCUGUAAAAGGUCAAAUAGGUGGAGAAAGCGAAAACCAAGAGGACAAAAAUGAGGCCGAGCAGGCUGAACAGGAGCGUCUGGAAGCACUUCGGGAAGCAGAAGAAAGGAGAAAAGAAAAACACAGAAAAAUGGAAGAGGAAAGAGAAAAAAUGAGGCAGGAUAUCAGAGACAAGUACGGGAUCAAGAAGAAAGAAGAAAAAGAAGCAGAAAUGAACCAAGCCAUUGCAGCCAGCAGCCUCAACAGAAGAAAGAAGACCCCGGCAGAACUUGCUGCAGAGCAGGAAGCCGAGGAACAGGACGAUUUCACUAGUGAGUUAUGAAACGUUAUGUAUCAUACCGAGUAUCUAGUUAUAAAGAAACAAGCAUAUUUUUCUGAACUGAAGAAUACGUUGGAAACGCAAGUAAAUGAACUGAAGACCACCAUUGAAGGAAAAUGUGUGCUACAAUGAGG
rnacentral:misc_RNA from 1 species